rnacentral:rRNA from 1 species
UACGUAGGUGGCAAGCGUUGUCCGGAUUUAUUGGGUUUAAAGGGUGCGUAGGCGGCUUUGUAAGUCAGUGGUGAAAUAUGGCAGCUCAACUGUCAGGGUGCCAUUGAUACUGCGGAGCUUGAGUACAGAUGAGGUAGGCGGAAUUUCCGGUGUAGCGGUGAAAUGCGUAGAUAUCGGAAGGAACACCAGUGGCGAAAGCGGCUUCCUGGUCCAGCACCGACGUUCAGGCACGAAAGCGUGGGGAGCAAACAGG